rnacentral:rRNA from 1 species
GACGAACGCUGGCGGCGUGCUCAACACAUGCAAGUCGAACGGUGAAGCGCUUUCCUUUUUGGUUGGUGUGGAUGAGUGGCGAACGGGUGAGUAACACGUGAGUAACCUGCCCCCUUCUUCUGGAUAACCGCAUGAAAGUGUGGCUAAUACGGGAUAUUCUGCGCCUGCUGCAUGGUGGGUGUGGGAAAGAUUGUGCCUUUGGGUGUUUUCGGUGGGGGAUGGGCUCGCGGCCUAUCAGCUUGUUGGUGGGGUGAUGGCCUACCAAGGCGGUGACGGGUAGCCGGCCUGAGAGGGUGGACGGUCACACUGGGACUGAGACACGGCCCAGACUCCUACGGGAGGCAGCAGUGGGGAAUAUUGCACAAUGGGCGCAAGCCUGAUGCAGCGACGCCGCGUGAGGGAUGGAGGCCUUCGGGUUGUGAACCUCUUUCGCCAGUGAAGCAGGCCUGCUCCUUGUGGGUGGGUUGACGGUAGCUGGAUAAGAAGCGCCGGCUAACUACGUG